rnacentral:rRNA from 1 species
CCUACGGGAGGCAGCAGUAGGGAAUCUUUCACAAUGGGCGAAAGCCUGAUGGAGCAACGCCGCGUGCAGGAUGAAGGCCUUCGGGUUGUAAACUGCUUUUAUAAGCGAGAAAUAUGAUGGUAACUUAUGAAUAAGGAUCGGCUAACUACGUGCCAGCAGCCGCGGUCAUACGUAGGAUCCGAGCAUUAUCCGGAGUGACUGGGUGUAAAGAGUUGCGUAGGUGGGAUAAUAAGUAGCUAGUGAAAUCUGGUGGCUCAACCAUUCAGACUAUUAGCUAAACUGUUAAGCUCGAGACCGUUAGGGGUAACUGGAAUUUGUAGUGUAGGAGUGAAAUCCGUAGAUAUUAGAAGGAACACCAAUAGCGUAGGCAGGUUGCUGGGACGGUUCUGACACUAAGGCACGAAAGCGUAGGGAGCAAACGGGAUUAGAUACCCCUGUAGUC